UUAAAAAUGUAUAGAAUAAAUAUUUAAUUUUAUACAAUUUUAAUUAAUGUAUCACAAAUAAUGUAGAUGUAUACAGUGUUCCAUGUUUGUGUUAUUAGUGCAUGUGUAUCCCGAUAAUCAUUAAAAAUAAUUGAAAAAAAAAAAAUAACAUACUAUUUUGCAAGCAGUAUGCCUGGAAAAAAUUAAGGAACUCAAUCCAUGUUAACUGAACUAAUUGGUUAUCAUAUACCUACCUUGCAUACCUUGUCAAGUCUAUAGAUUAAAUGCAUUUGUAGAGCAUAGUUAUGAAAAAACAUAUUAGAACAUAAGCGUACUAAUGGAGUGGAAGGAAUGGACAAUGAAUGUGGAGAAAUGUUCAGUCUCUACUGGAUCACUCUGCUGACUUGAUACAUCACUAUUUGCCAUAACACUAUACUAAGCACACUUUGCACAGGAGCA